rnacentral:misc_RNA from 1 species
GAUGAAGAACGCAUCGAAAUGCGAUAAGUAAUGUGAAUUGCAGAGUUCAGUGAAUCAUCGAAUCUUUGAACGCACAUUGCGCCCGCCAGUAUUCUGGCGGGCAUGCCUGUUCGAGCGUCAUUUCAACCCUCAAGCCCCCGGGCUUGGUGUUGGGGAUCGGCGUGCCCUCGCGGCGCGCCGUCCCCUAAAUCUAGUGGCGGUCUCGCUGUAGCUUCCUCUGCGUAGUAGCAACACUCGCACUGGAUCGCAGCGCGGCCACGCCGUUAAACCCCCCACUUCUGAAAGUUUGACCUCGGAUCAGGUAGGAAUACCCGCUGAACUUAAGCAUAUCAAUAAGCGGAGGA